UAUAAUCCAAGUCACUACAAUACAACAGUUGAAUACCAAAUACCAAGACAACAAACUAAAUAAGACAAAUAAGACAGAUAAAAACAAUAAAAUAUUAUCCUUAGAAGAGUGAAACAGACAACCAUCUCCCAAAAUGUAGUCAAGGCAUCAGUCCCUAGUCAUCACCAAAGGUGGUCUUCCUCCCUGAACCCCCAAAUCUACCACCACCACCCCGGCCCCUGCCACCACCAUCCCUUCCUCCAAACCUGCCACGACCACCACUCCGACCGCCACCAUCACGACCUCUUCCACCAAAUCUACCCCUGCCACCACUAUCACGUCCACCAAA
rnacentral:misc_RNA from 1 species